GUCCAGAAGGCUGCAGUCUUUCCUCCAAGAAAAAAAAAAGGCUGCUUCAACCCCUGCUGCCAGCAAAGUUGCGAUUCCCUCUGCUGGCUAUCUCGAAUAGCAAAGCGGUUUUUGUAGCAAAGCUGCUGCCGCUGCCGCUGAACCCAGGGAACUCAGAUGUGGGCGGUGGAUGAUUCCUUAUCCUUCCCUCCAUCCACCCCGCACAAGAGCUGCCUUCUCUGCUCUGCCUGCCAAGUUUCAAGCCCACUCCUCAAUGGGGCAAGCGAGUGCUGAUAUGGAGGAAGCACUGCAGACAGCUGAAAACAGCCGCCUUGAACAGUCACUUGGACCAGCCACCUUGAACAGUCACCUGGACCAGCCGCCUUGAACAGUCACCUGGACCAGCCGCCUUGAACAGUCACCUGGACCAGCCACUGACUUGUCAUGUGUGAGAAGUAAACCUUGGCUAGAUUAUACUAUUUGAGAUCUAGUAACUUAGCAGAGCAUCACCCAGCCUACCCUAAGCACACAUUCCUUGUAGCUUCAUUCUAUAUUCGUUAGUUUCUUUGAGUAUCUCCCCCACUAAUAUCUAAGCUCCACAAGGGAAGGGAUAUAUCUAAUCCAUUCACUGUUGUAUCCCCAGCACCUAAAACAGUCCUUGGAAUGUAAUACACAUUUGAUAAAUGUGUAGUAAAUAAAUGAAUAAAUGUU